AUUGAACGCUGGCGGCCGGCCUAACACAUGCAAGUCGAGCGAGCGGCGGCCGGGUGAGUAAUGUAUGGGGACUGCCCGAUAGAGGGGGAUAACUACUGGAAACGGUGGCUAAUACCUCAUCCUAUUGUUUAACCCAUAUGGGAUUGGCUAGUAGGUGGGGUAAAGGCUAACCUAGGCGACGAUCUCUAGCUGGUCUGAGAGGAUGAUCAGCCACACUGAGACUGAGACACGGCACAGACUCCUACGGAGGCAGCAGUGGGGAAUAUUGAACAAUGGGAGGAAGCCAGAUGCAGCCAUGCCGCGUGUAUGAAGAAGGCCUUAGGGUUGUAAAGUAUUUUCAGCGGGGAGGCGGUACCCGCAGAUGAAGCACCUGAUGACUCCGUGCCAGAAGCCGCGGUAAUAC
rnacentral:rRNA from 1 species